rnacentral:rRNA from 1 species
UGCGCAGGCGGUUCGUUAAGUUCGAUGUGAAAGCCCCGGGCUCAACCUGGGAAUUGCAUUGGAAACUGGCGGCUUGAGUGUGGCAGAGGGGGGUGGGAAUUCCACGUAUAGCAGUGAAAUGCGUAGAGAUGUGGAGGAACACCGAUGGCGAAGGCAGCCCCCUGGGCUAACACUGACGCUCAGGCACGAAAGCGUGGGGGAGCAAACA